UACGGGGGGGGGCAAGCGUUGUUCGGAAUUACUGGGCGUAAAGGGUGCGUAGGCGGCGCGGUAAGUCGGGUGUGAAAUCUUGGAGCUUAACUCCGAAACUGCAUUCGAUACUGCCGUGCUUGAGGACUGGAGAGGAGACUGGAAUUUACGGUGUAGCGGUGAAAUGCGUAGAUAUCGUAAGGAAGACCAGUGGCGAAGGCGGGUCUCUGGACAGUUCCUGACGCUGAGGCACGAAGGCCAGGGGAGCAAACGGG
rnacentral:rRNA from 1 species